UGCCAAGAACAAAUUCUGGCUGCCUUCCCAGCAGGUGCUCAGUAAGUACACAUCAAAGGGAUGAAUUGAAGAAAUGCCAAGAUGAACAUCACUGCCUUGAAGACGGGUGCAUUUUACCUAAAAUACCAUCUCCAGAAGCACUUACACAGUAACACCUCCAAAUACACAGGCAUUUCCUGCCCUCUUCUCCUCUUCCUUCUGUGCUGGUGGCUCCCAACUUCCUGGCUGGUGUUGCUCUCUCCACUGGAAACCCUGAAGGCCCAUAGUUCAUAUUCAUCUCCCACAUUGGGGUCCUGGAUCACGGAGUUGGAUGGAUCGUCCAUCCCCUUAUUGGCGAACCCGGAGCUCAUGCGUCUGCUUCCCUGCUGGAUUUAGGGCCCUGCACACAGAGAGAAGUUCAAUAAACACAUGGUGGACAAAAAGGAACAGACAUAUCAGAGUGAAAAGAUGACUUUGACAAAAUACAGAGAGAUCUGGGAAACAGCGGUUCUGGCGAGAGUCCUCGAACCCAUCAAAACAGACACACAAAGGCUGUGAUGAAGUCCUUCAUCCAAAGAGGAACAAUGAAAACCAGCGCAGCCAGAGUGGCUGGGCAGAGAAGGCUGCCCAAGGCCUGGAGUCAGGGGACACUUGCUCCCCUAGUAAGGUCUCUGGGCCCCUCCUUGAGGUUUGGACAAGUGUGCCAAGACCUGGGCCAUGUGGAGCUGACCACUGGUGGGCAACCGGUGCCUGCUCCCCUGCCCUCAGCUGCCAGGGCCCCUCCACUGUCACCCGUCCCUCCUAAAGCCCUGGUGGUUACUGCUGAACAUUGAAACUGCCUGUGCUCCUUGGCUGGGUCUGGAUUGAUCGUAUUUCAGAUGAGAAGAUCAAGAAGAUGCUGGAAACAUUUCAG
rnacentral:lncRNA from 13 species